rfam:Paramecium tetraurelia chromosome undetermined scaffold_49, whole genome shotgun sequence.
GUCAGUUUGGCCGAGUGGUUAAGGCGGUGGACUUGAAAUCCACUGGGUUUACCCGCGCAGGUUCGAAUCCUGCAGCUGACG